AACUCUGGUAUUGAUUGGUGCUUGCAUCAUGAUUUACAUUUGAGUGAGUGGCGAACUGGUGAGUAACACGUGGGAAACCUGCCCAGAAGCGGGGGAUAACACCUGGAAACAGAUGCUAAUACCGCAUAACAACUUGGACCGCAUGGUCCGAGUUUGAAAGAUGGCUUCGGCUAUCACUUUUGGAUGGUCCCGCGGCGUAUUAGCUAGAUGGUGGGGUAACGGCUCACCAUGGCAAUGAUACGUAGCCGACCUGAGAGGGUAAUCGGCCACAUUGGGACUGAGACACGGCCCAAACUCCUACGGGAGGCAGCAGUAGGGAAUCUUCCACAAUGGACGAAAGUCUGAUGGAGCAACGCCGCGUGAGUGAAGAAGGGUUUCGGCUCGUAAAACUCUGUUGUUAAAGAAGAACAUAUCUGAGAGUAACUGUUCAGGUAUUGACGGUAUUUAACCAGAAAGCCACGGCUAACUACGUGCCAGCAGCCGCGGUAAUACGUAGGUGGCAAGCGUUGUCCGGAUUUAUUGGGCGUAAAGCGAGCGCAGGCGGUUUUUUAAGUCUGAUGUGAAAGCCUUCGGCUCAACCGAAGAAGUGCAUCGGAAACUGGGAAACUUGAGUGCAGAAGAGGACAGUGGAACUCCAUGUGUAGCGGUGAAAUGCGUAGAUAUAUGGAAGAACACCAGUGGCGAAGGCGGCUGUCUGGUCUGUAACUGACGCUGAGGCUCGAAAGUAUGGGUAGCAAACAGGAUUAGAUACCCUGGUAGUCCAUACCGU
rnacentral:rRNA from 2 species